CAAUAGCGUAUAUUUAAGUUGUUGCAGUUAAAAAGCUCGUAGUUGGAUUUCGGUUAAGAGCGACCGGUCCGCCGUUUGGUGUGCACUGGUUGGUUUUAACUUCCUGUAGAGGACGUGCUCUGGGUUUAACGACCUGGACUCGGAGUCUGCGUGGUUACUUUGAAAAAAUUAGAGUGUUCAAAGCGGGCUUACGCUUGAAUAUUUCGGCAUGGAAUAACACUAUAGGACUCCUGUCCUAUUUCGUUGGUCUCGGGACGGGAGUAAUGAUUAAGAGGAACAGUUGGGGGCAUUCGUAUUUCAUUGUCAGAGGUGAAAUUCUUGGAUUUAUGAAAGACGAACUUCUGCGAAAGCAUUUGCCAAGGAUGUUUUCAUUGA
rnacentral:rRNA from 1 species